ACUCUGGCAAGUGUGGGUCCUGGGGGCGGCGGCGGGGCCCCGACCCUGGGUCGGCCCGCGGUGUGACCCCUGCCGGAGUCUUGGCUUUUCCUGGGCCUCGCGUCCUGCUGUGUAAACGCGGGUGAUGACGGCGCCGACGUCUUGGCGCUGUUGUGAGUGGAAAGUGGGCGCGAGAGCAGACGCCAGCCACGGUUGUUUUGGGGACACUGCCUAUCUCUAAGAGCCUGGAAAGAGGACUCUGCUGGCUGUUGGAAAUUGCGGAGUAAUGUCUCAAGUAAGUCGGUGGGUCCCUAAAUCUCCCUGAAACAC